rnacentral:lncRNA from 1 species
AUGUGCCAAUCGAUGGCUGCUUUUCAAGACCAAUUGCUGUAUCUCAGUUCAGAGAAACAAAUUUGGAAAGAAUUGAAUAAACUCCAGUUUGUUGGUUUUGCAUUGUUUUCUUCUUUAUCUUUCGUCUGUUCCUCUGAGUUUCUUUUUGCACCAGACAUCACAAAUUUACCGUGCAACACAGGUAAACAGCUAAUCAAAAGAAUUGUAGACACUCAUGAACACAUUUCAAAUCAUCUAAGAUACCUUUUAAAAACAAUUUCGCACACAGAAGUAUCAACCU